AACGUUUUUAAUUGUCAAAAUACUGAUAGUAAAAUCAGAAAUGGUAGGGUUGGGAAUGAUCAAUUAGGUUGUAUAUAAAUUAUUUCUUAAUGGAUUUUACACACAAAAAUAGGCAAAUGAAUUCGAUUCAAUGGCUAUUUUUGAGCGACAAACCACCAAUAAAGUGUUAUUAGAUGAUACGGAACAAUUAACAUGUACUAUUGAAAACUGGAAAAACGUCAAUGGUCACACUGAAUUUAUUAUAAAAGUAUAUAGAGGACCUUUUUCGGAUCAAACGUGGAAAAUAAGUAAAAGAUACAAUGAUUUUUGUAAGUUGCACAAUGCAUUGCAGUCUUCUGGGAUACCCCUGGAACUACCUCCAAAAAAACUCAUUGGAAAUAUGGACCCACAUUUUCUUGGCGAAAGGCAACAGGGCUUACAGAAAUAUCUAGACAGCAUCCUAAUGAAUCCAAUACUAGUUUCAUCUCUUCCAGCUAGAUCAUUUGUUGAUCCAGCAAAUUAUUGCCAACCAUUUAGAGAGUUGGCUUUACAACAUGUAUCUUUGGCGCUGAGAGGGGAAGUUGGCUGGGAAGUUGUAGGUCCAAUUAAUGAUAUGGGUUGGAGAUUAAGGAAACAUUAUUAUGAAUUAAAAUGUAAAUCUUUACCCAAGGAAGAAAUAUUUGGAGGAUGGACUGAUUACGGUCCCGAUAAAUAUUUGGAUGAUCGAGAGAUGCAUGCUGUUUUUAAAAGCAUUGGUCAGCUACAGCAUCCAUAUAUAUAUCCCAUUGAGCUGUGUUUAUCUACCGAAACUGGGGCAUUGGUGGCUCGAUUGGCACAUAAAAAUGGGACAUUGAGAGAUCUCCUUUCUGGAGCUAAACCGAGACAAUCAUUUUUAAAAAAAUACGGAAAUCCCAAGGGACAUAAAACACUCACGGCAGAGCAAAUAUCUUUGUAUGGUCGGCAAAUAUUAGAGGCGUUGAAGUUUUUACAUGAUAAAGGAUUACCUUAUGGUCAUUUACACACUGGAAAUAUCAUUAUCGAUAACGAUCGAGUAAAACUUCUGGAUAUAGAAAAUGGAGUAUUGGGUGUGCCUUCAUUUUACCGACCAUAUUUUAUGCAACAUAAGAAAAUAAAUAAUUUAGAAGCCAUAGAUGUCUACUGUUUUGGACACGUACUUUACGAAAUGAUGUUUGGGGCUCCGUUGCAUGAAAGCAUAGUUGAUAAUAUGCCAAAUUAUCCUGUAACUGAACUCAGAGAUCUACUUUCUCGAAUACUGUCAUCGGAAGGAUGCAAACAUGGUUUACCGACCAUAAGCGAUCUCUUGUUUGAUCCAUUCUUCUCGGUAGUUCAUUUAUCAUUUUUGCCCACUGACAAAGCUCAUUUAAAACUUGCCACUUCAACGAAGGAACAAUUAAAGCAUGCUGUUCACAAAAUUGAGGAAAGGUUGAGGGAUGAACAAAAAGUUGUCAGGAGUCAAAAAAAGUUGGUCAAAGUCCAAGAGAUGAUGAGUUGUGAAGAAGAGAAAAAGAAACAAGCUAGACACAAAAUGGAAAGAUUAGCUAAGGAACAACAUAAACACAACAGAAGACUGGAAAAGGCUAACAGUAUUAAUGGUGAGAGAUCUGAAAGUGUAAAUAGCAGUGGAGCCACUUCAGUUGGUACAUCCACCCCUCCCUCGACGACUGGAUAUAAUGUUCCAUCGCCACCUCCGCCUCCUCCACCGCCACCUGUGCCGCCGAUAGGUGAUGACAUGCCAUCACUUAUCAAUGGAUCUUCUGUUCCUACAGGGAAUAAAGACCGAUCCGAAUUACUAGGAGCCAUUUGCAAUUUUAAUAAAUCUGCCUUGCGUAAAACCAAAGUUUCUUGAAUUUAUAUUAAAAGAAGGGGUACAGCGGGUAAAGUCGCUUUUAAACAGCAUCUCGUCCCUUACCUAAUUGUGACUGAAAGAAGCAGUACUGAAAGAAGAAGUAACAGCGUUUCUUCUGCGGCCGUUAUUAUAAAGGUCGCAUUUACCUUUAUACAUUAGACUCACAAGCUGGUCUUAUACUACUUUAAAUAUUUAUUGAAUGGAUAAAUCUAACGAACAAGGAUGUAAUUAGAAUUUUUAUUUUAUGCCAUUUUUAUUCUAUGCCAUUCGCAUUAAAAAAAGUAUUUGUUAACUAGUUUUUUAGUAAGUUUUUAAGUUUUAUAUUUCUCAUUAGAUAUUUUAAACAAUUUAAUUCGAUUUAUUAAAACGGUUGAAGUCAAGCAAAAGAAUGAAAUAAUACAAUACACAUUUAAUUUUAUAUUACAAUAAUAAGCGUAUUUUGAUCUUGUUGUAGAUAACGGCGUAGACAUAACUAGUAGCUUUUUUUCGAAUUUAUCACUAUUUCCAGUUUCUUAAAACUAUACAGUCACUUUUAUGUUAAUUAAAAUAUCUGUAUUUCAAUCAAAUCUACUCAAAGCUAAAUAUAUUUGUUGGAGGCAGAUGGUGAAUUCGGCCCGCGGCUGAAAUAAUUGGACAUAUAGCCAUGUGUCCAUACUAGAUAUACCAGAUGCCAAAAAAGACAUACUAUUCGGCAUCUGGAUACCAUUAUUCGAACACAUCCCAAAAUGCCUAUAUACAUCUGAUGAAGGCUGUAAAAUAAAAAUGAUAUUAAAACCAUGUUUGAAUGCAAUUAAUUAACAACCCGAAAUUCAUUUCUUGCAUAUAGUAUCUCUAAAGUUGGUACAAACCCUCUUUCUCUGAUAAUAUAACAGCCAAAACAUUACGAGGAGCCAAACGUCCUCUAUCGACAUCAGGAAUCUUUAACAAAAUGUUCUGUCCAGUUUCAAUUUUGGGAAAUUUGUAGCAACUUUGAUAUAACAUUUCCUCUGCCUGCUUUUUUAAGCUAUUAACACUUUCAGAGCGAUGCUGAUUUAUUGCUUUCAAGUGAGCUUCAUUCUCUCUAAAAUAGAACAUUUUAUUAUUGUGGUUAUCAGAGGUAUUAUUAUUAUUAUCACUUUCAAACAUAUUUGCAAGACUAUUGAAUAUUUGAUUCACAAACUAUCUGUCAUUGUCACUAUGCAUUAGACAGGUAGCUCAGGUGAUACAAAAAAUAUCCAUUAGGUUAUAGACAACUUCUUCGGCUAGUUUAGUUUCCAGAGCUCUUAGGAACACAAAUUCAGUUGAGUGGUCUUGUUAAUUCAUUAUAAAUUUAUAGGAACAUCAGAUUCAUAUCAAUUAAAUCCCCUUUUGUUAAAUCCUGUCGAAAUUAUUGGUUUUACUACCAAACCUUUCUGCUUAGAUUUUUUUAGCUUAUAUAUAGAACAUAAUGUUGAAUAUUCUUCAAUGAUACUUCGGGGAAAAUUACAAUAGGUUUGUUCUUGGUAGCUGCACUUGAACUGUACUGAACUAGACUAGUGCAGGCCAGUUUAUAGUGUAUAGAAUUAGUUCGAUCGGAUACAAAGAAUGAUAUAGUUCAGAGAGAAAUGGAGUAUUUGUUGUAUUUGAGAUUAUUUGAUGUGCUUCAGGCCUUGUAGUAUUAACAAUAAUGGAAGACGAUUGAGUACUUUCGUCCGAUGACGAAGGUGUAGGGCCACCGUUUCCAGAUUUCAAUUAUUGCACUGUCUUGCACUGCACUGGUUGAACUGACUCUAGACCCAGUACAAACAGUACAGCGAACUGGGUGAACUAGCUCUCUUGCACUGCUACUAAGAACAGCGACACUAGCGCUGGUUCUGCUUCAAAGAACGCUUUAGUAUACACUUCCUGAACUAGUUCUGCCAGUGGAGCUACCAAAAACAAAUCUAAUAUUUUUUAACAAUUUUUUUUUCCAUACCUAAUUUUUUUUGUAGCUAGUAUCUUUAUGAUUUCAUACCUAUUUAGACAUCUAUAAUCUUGGCAGCUCAGUUUUUCAUUGCAUUCUUUUUUUCUCAUGCUAUCCUUCACUUGACUUGAAAUAUUGCUCGGUAGUCAAUACGGUGGUAAAAUGAUUACCACUAUUUUUCUCAAUCAACGUAAUGAGUUUUUUUUUUCAAAAGUAUGCUGAUCAACUAAAUGUUGAUCAGCCUCCAUUGUUACAAUAAAUGAUUUACUCACAAAUUUUUAUGAAUAAUGCAAAAACCACUGACAAACAAACUGCACGUUAGCACUAAUUUAAGGUUAGGUUGAUUUUUUUUGCAAAUUAAGUCAAAAGGCGAAUUUCGGCAUCUGGCAUGUCUAGCAUCUGCCUCCAACAUAUUAAUUCUACCAACAGCCUAGUGAAGGAUCUUAUCCUUAUAUUAUUGGCAAACCUUUUUUAAUAAAUAUUUGGAAUUGUUAAUUAUAAAACCAAAAUAAAAAAAAAUUAUUCUUGAUCGUUAGAAAUGUUGGUGGAUAUUCUUACCAGAGAAACAUUUGUAAAUUAAUUUUUUGUACGUAAAAUUUUUUGUUUUUAUCUAUACAAGUAUUCGAUUAUAUAAUAUAUAUUCGAUAUAAGUUCGAUUCUCUAAUCAUAAUAAUAAUACUAAUCAAAGGUUGCCCUUAAUAAUUUUACAUUUUUUUAUUUAAUCAUUAUUUAAAAUUAACGAAUUUCUUUUUUGCAUUGCAUUUUUACAGUAAACUAAUUUUCACUUACUGUUAUGUCCUCAGUAUUAACAGUAAAUGUAAAUAGAUGCAUUCCACCAAUUACCUUUUUGUGUACUAAAUCUGGUCUUUUCUCACUAGGAAUUUCGCGUUUUAACCAUAAUUCUAUUACCUCCAUUUUCCUUUUUUUUUUUUUUAAAUAGCGAAUCUCAUGAUUAUAUAUCAUUUAUUUAUAUUAUGGCUUCUAUUCACUAUUUCCCGUAUAUUCCUGUAGAGGAGCAAUUCCUAUAUUAGGGCCCAAUCCAACAAUCCUCCUAUUAAAAUUUUCCUUAUCCUAUCAAAUUCUAGUAAAUCUCACAUUUAGGUAAACGGUAGAAUAUAAACUGCUUCGGGGAAAUUGUGAAAGUAUACAGAACUUUUUGAUUACUAUAGAUUCAGUUUAGAUCAGCGGUCGCCAACCUUUUUCAUGAGUUAAUCAAUUUCGAAAGUUUUGGAAUAGAGAGUGAACUACUUAUCUGUAAAAUAUGUAAUACAUUUAUUAACAUCAAAUAAUAAAAAUACUGCUCUUACAAAAUAACCAGAGGUUUGUUUUUUAUGGUAGUGUUUCUUCAACACUUUUUUGGUCCCUUGUUAUUAGGGUUAAAUCAUCAGCAUAUGCUAUCAUUCAUUUUGAUUUAUUAAUGAUACUUCCAUCCAUAUUACAUGUCCUUAUUAUGCCAUCUGACCUUAUCUCAUGUUUUAUUUCAAACUCCUUAGAUGGCCAUUUGGUCUUUCUUUUGUCAUUACCCUUUCCCUAAAAUUUAGCAUAGUUAUUUUCAUUAAUUUUCAUAUUAACUUUUGGAUUAUGUCCUUUAUAAUGGUCCUCCUUUUCAGACUGUCGAAUGCUUAUUUGGAGUCGAUGAAUAAAAUUUGCAAUUCCAAUAUUGUGCUUAUAACAUUUUUCGAUCAAUUGUUUUAUAGUGUCAAUGGAAUCCACUGUUUUUAUUUUGUCUAAUAUCUUUUUUAUACAUACCCAAAUAAUAAACUAUUUUGUAAACAAUUCUUCAACUUUUCUUGGUUUUGUUUUCGUUUUUUCAUAUACUUUAUAAUUGUCCUACAUUUCAGACUGUUGAAUGCUUGUCGAUGAUUAGCAAUUACAUUCUAAUGUGCUCGUAGCAUUUUUCGAUCACUUGUUUUAUAGUAUGAAUGGCAUCUACUGUUGAUUUUUAUAGUCUAAAACUUUUUUGAUAUACCCCUGUUUCUGGUUCCACAACUUUCAAUAUUUUAUUUAUUAUUAUAUAUACAAUAUUAAACAAACUAAUCCAACUAUAAUUGCUACAUAUGCAGGGAUUUUAAAAUUGAUACAAAUUUUUUUCCCCAUUCACUUGAUAAAAUUUGUUAGAUUUUUAUUUGAAAUUUUACUUUAAUUCAGUUUCAGUCUCCAAUUUUUUUCACAUAAGUAGUAUUUUUACUUUCUGGAUACAACUUCCCUUAUCAGUUUAAUAAUAAAAUCAUUUUCAAGUGUAUUAAAGUAAUUUACAGACUUUACUAUUUCAUGAGUAUGAUCUUUUUCAUUUUUACUGGUGAGCCACCCCCUGUUCCCUUUACUUCCUAUUUUUCAAAAGCUGCUAUCUUUACUGGCUUCCGUUUCCUAUUCAAAAUUAGUUCAGUUUUCGAUAAUUGGCACUAAAUAUGAAGAAGAAGAAAUGUUUACUUAAGCCAACUGCCAAAGCCAAAUGAUAUUUAGAAACUUCUAAUUCACUAUUGGUAUUUUUUAGUUAAUUCUAUGCUGUACCUAUCAUAUUAUACAUUCAUUUUUAUUGUCUAUAUUGUUAGUCAAGGGGACAAGAUUAAAUUUGUGUUUUGAAUGUCUUUCAAUGUGGUAAGAAAAUUUCAUAACGACAUUUGUACAUAUUAUAAUCUCUGGUAAAAUCGUAUCUAUAAAAUGAAUUUUUUCAUAAAUGAUUACCGGCUCUGUAACAUUUAGAGUUAUUGUAUAUAUUAAAUUUAAGGUAUAUUUGUGAUAAAUAAAUAUGUGAAUGUAACUUUUAUUGAUUAAUUUAAAUCAAAUAUCUAGUAUAAAAUUUGUUACUACCGUCUUGAGUGAUGGGUACAAUGUCAAAUUCUAUUCUUUUCCACUAAUUUUAAUAAUUGUCUUUAUUCUCUUCUUGUAUCUUUAACUUUAAUGUUCGAAAAUGUUUUAUGGUUAAAAAUUAUGGUGUAAAAAUUCACUAUGACCCAUUUAUAGCUUACUUAAAAUUUAUUUCUUCCAUACAAUUACUACUGUGGCCACUCAAAUCUAAGUUGGUUUUUGCCUUGCCAACAAGUUACGUCCAUUUUUUAAAGAAGAAACUAUGAACAAUGCAUCGAAUUAUAUUUUUUGUUGUAUCAUCGAAGGUUUUUACAACUCCUGGACGACCUCCAUGGUGAGAAGAGACUAUUAUUCCAGUACUUCUAUAUCUAACAACUCCAAAAAAAAAUUAAUUUCAUAGAAAAGUGUUAUUUUCGAUGACCUACCCAACGUUUUCACAAUUUUAAACACAAUAGCAUUCACCUUUGUCUUUAUUGAGAUUUCUUUAUACAAAUUCAGAAUGUUUUGCUUCUCCGUAGACGAUAACUGGCCAUAAAUUGUAAAGCCCCCCUAUUUGGGGUGCGAAUGAUCUCUGCUAAUACUUGGGUCAUUUUUCAAAUUAGUCCCGACAAGAAUUGUUUUCAUAUUUUUAUAAAAUAAUAACAAGAACGCAAGAAAUAACAAAACGUUUACAAUUUAUACAAUUGUCAAUCAUAAUACGAGAACCGUUUUUUUCAACCUCCGAUCGCUCCCUGCAGACGCUACGCGGACAGAAGAAGACGGGCAUGCGCUGUAGGCGACUGCUAAGCUCUGGCACUACAAACUUCGCCAUUGUUGACGUCAGUCGGCGUUUUCUACAGACUGAAGGCCGUAGUGCUGCAGAAAUCCAUCGGAAAAUGAUUCGUGUGUAUGAGAAAAACUUCAUAGUGAUGGUGUUGUGCGUGAAUGGUGUCGUAAUAUUGUGCAUUAUGAAGGGGGCCAAGGAAGCAAAUCCGUCGUUUGAGAUGACCUGGUUCACCGAGUUGAUAGAAUGGUUAAAGAAAACCGCAGAUUCACCAUUACUGCUUUAUCUAUGGAAUUUCCAGAAGUGUCAACAUCUGUUUUGUACUCUAUUGUUACUAAACGGUUAGGCUACACUUUCUUUGAGUAUUGAGAGCAUUUCCACAUAUAUGACAAAUGUAUCAAUCUCUUCGGUGGUUAUGUCGAAAAGUAACCGUAAGUGUACCAAUCUAAUAAAAUUAUUGUUUUAUAUGAACUUGUCUUUUAUUCAUAGUCUAUCGGAGGUUGAAUAAAAAACGACCGUCGUAUAUGUCAAAAGUGCUGCGAUUUGACCAAUCAGAAAUCUACAAAAUUGUCGACUUAAAUUCAAAUACUCUUAGUUUAAAAACAGGGUAUAGUAACGAAUAUAUCUUUACUCCUUCGAGGUGUAUCUAAAAUUGUGCAGUACACAGUCAAUGUAAGAAAUGUGUAAUGUUUUCAGUAACUAUAAAUUUCUGAUAUACCAAGGGUCUAGGACAUUGCUGAAGCAGUGCAGAAUGUUCUCCAAUAAAUACAAUGUACAAAAAUUGUUAUCUAUCCCUAUGGUAACCUUCAACAAGUAUAGAUCAUAUUAUUUAUUCAUAUGUUGGUAUUGCAUAUUAGUCUGUACAUAUUUUGAAGUCAUAGUUUCAUUAAUUAAGAGACAUGUAAUCUUUCAGUGAAUUUAAAUAAAAAUUCAUCUGUCAACUUUUAUAAAAUAGAACCAAGUACUCUUAUACACGCUCCUUUUAAUGAUCUUAUUAUAAGUGAGGCUUGGCAUUGCAAAACUCACUGUAUCCAUUAUUGGAAAAUUUUUUUCCAAACUCAUUAAUCACAUCUAAAUAGCGAUUCUGAUAAGAAAAUUUAAACAGGGUUGCGGAAUUGUUUAAAUUAUAUCAUUUCAAAGUUUGAUUAAAGUGAGUUUUGCAGAGAAACUGUGGAUAAGGAAUAAUUUUUCACCGUCAUUAGAUGGAUAAAGGAAUAUUUGCACGAACACAAUUAAAAAUGUAUUAAUGUAAAAAAUUAGAUAAUUUUUAUAGUAAAAAAGCACUCAAAAAAUACAACCAGCAUUAAAGUUGAUAAAAUUCAUUAUUGAUAAAUGUUUUAAACUCUUACUGCAUGAUCCUCCUCAUGACCUUCACAUUUACACUCACCUUCAAGUGCUAAAUUGUCAGAAACUAUUGCAUGAUCAAUAACAGUUUUAUAAAAAUUGUAUUCUUCUAAAUGGCGCCACUCAUUUCCAAAGUGCUUGGAUAAUAAUUCGUCGAAUGUCAUUAAUCUUGUCUUGUUUCACAUGAUUUACUUCAUGUAGUUUAACUUUUGAUAUGUUGAUACCCUUCUUAGAAACAAACUUGAAUUGGCCUACAUCUGAGUUGAAGAGAAGCUCUCCAACUAUCGAGAAGAUUUCUUGAAUAAAAAGCGUUUUGCUUCGUUAAAUUGGAAAUGCCAUCUAGCAGGCGUCUUGAAGUAAGCAGCAUUGAAACUUCUCCAGUCGUACACUCAACUUCUUCUCCCAGUUUCGAUACUGUGCAAUAUUCAGAAAAAAUUGAAUGGUAUUCAGAAGGUAAAUAGUAAAUAGGUAAAUAAUUAAAUAUAAAUAAUCUCGAUUAUUAUUUACCCUUUACUAUUAAUGCAAAGACUCUAUCGGGUGGUAAAAAAGAGUGUUCUGUAAUAGGAAACACCAAUUCAAUCGACUUAAUGUUGAUUGGUGACGCAUUGCAAAAAAAAUAUGUUGAAAUAGCUAUCAUUAUCGAAUUUCGGUUCUGUCCUCCACAUCAGCACAGAGUAUUAUCCUUGAAUAGGAGGUCAAGUCCAACUAUCUCAGGAGGUGUAAAACUGCUGAUGCAAUUUCGUUUGAACUUUUUCUUCGUUUAAGUUCCAUCCAAAUAUAGCAAAAUAUGUUGUCCGGUGUGUUUGAAAAAUCCCGUCACAAUGGUGAAAUUGUAAAUAUACAAUUGUCUCCAGUAAUACGCACUUUGGUCUUGAAUCUUUGAUAAAACCAACUUUUUUUGACAGUCGAAUGAUAUAAUAAGUAGGUCGCUUUGUUCGUCUUUUAGCUCGUUAUAAAAAGCUUUGUACCUUGCUUUGAGAACAGCAUGUUCGAUAAUCUAUUAUUUGUUUCUUGAUCAUCUCUCUUUAUUUUCCCUUUGAGCUCAAUGCAUCCGUUAUUGGUGAACCGAACCCUAUGUUGUAUUCUUAUCAGGAGUUUUGGAGUGACACCCAUUUUUCUCGUGUGGUUCAGAAUCCACCGUUACCUUUGAUAUUGGAAAAAUAUGGUUAUAGUGAGUUUUGCAAUGCCACGCCUCAAGUAAACUGUAUUAACAAUAUAAAAUUUCUGAUAUAAUACUAUUAAUAUUUAUUGUAAUAUCAAAUAUUUUGUAAAAUAAAUGCUUUAAUUUUUGUGCCUAGUCCAAUAUUAUGUCUAUAAAAAGUAACUCUCGCACAUUGUGAUUUGUGACAUUUGGCACUAAGAAUACAUAUAAAGUGGGGCCACAUAAUAUAGUUUUAUAUCGAAGCACUGCUAUGUGUAAAUGUCAUUGUUUAGAAUUUUUCCGAUUAUCCAAACGAAAUAAUUUAUAUUUUGUUAUAUAGUGCGUAAUUAACAAACUUUUUAUGCCAAUUCAUUAAUCGAAAUAUUAAUUAUUUCGUGUGAGUAGUUGUAAUGGUACAGUAUACAACACGUGCCGUAACUUAAUAUUUCAUAUUUAUGUAAUAUGACAGAAUCUUGUGAAAUAUUUUAUUUUCCGCACUAUCGUAAAUGUGUUGUAUCAGUAUGUGAAUGUUAAUUCAUAAUCUUUUAGAUAUCGUUUUGGAAUAAAAGUAGUUGGAUGUUUUGAUAAGUAGUAUUAGUAUUGUUCAAAUAAUAUUUGUUAGAAAUACAAUUUUUAUGUGUGAGCAAAAGUCUCUUGCAAAAAAUCUAUAGCUUCCAUUCUUUUUCUGAUUUCAGCAUCUCAAAGCCAUAGUCUUAACAUUAUAAUAAAUAAUCUAUGUUGUUAUAUUUUGGUAAAGAAAAAAUAUCAAAGGAAACAAUGAAGAAAAAAAAAUAAAGAAAAUAUAAAGUUAAAUUAUCAAAAUAAAAACUUAUCUCAUCAAUGUUUCCUCCUCUGGCCCUAAUAACAGCUUCCAAUCGCUUUUUCGUGGAUCGAAUGAGUUUCUUUACUCCAUCUUGUUCGAUGUUAACCCAUUCUUCAGUAAGAAUCAUUUUGAGGUCGAAUUCCGUGACUGCUGCAUGAUUUAUCGCGCGAACUUUUCUCUUGAGUUAAUUUCAUAAAUGCUCGAUAGGAUUUGAGCCCGGGCUUCGCGCUGGCUUAUCCGUAGCAGCAAUUUCGAAAUCGUGUAGAUACUGCCUUAUCCAGUAUAUGGACGGGCAUUGCCCUGCAUUAGCAUGAAGCUUUCGUCGAUAAAUCUGACGUAGGGUACGACGUGAUCCCCUAAAACCAACUCAAUUUUUGCUUCAAUUCCCGCCCAAAUAAUCCAGGAACCACCUCCAAAAGCCACGUUUCUCCAGGUCUGCUGUAGAUUCUCCUCUUGUAUCGCUUCAAUGCAGGCACACUCUGUUUUCGUCUGAUAUCAGAACGAAGCCUCAGUGUUCGUUAGUCCAAUUAAAGCGUUCUCUGGCAAAUCGUAGACGAACUACUCGGUGGGUUGGGGUAAAUUUGGGGCCAGUAGCUGGACUUUUUGGCUCAAUGUUAGCUGCCUUAAGUCUCGUUCUAUCUGUCAAGCCACUGCUCGUGUUUCUCUGAGCUCUUGUUGGACUUUAGUGAGACCUCUAUGAUCUGAUUACAAUCUCUCUCGGAUGUGCACCUUUUUCUUCCGGAUCCUCGUCUACAAUGGAAGUUACCAGUCUAUUAGUAAACAGAAGACUAACUCAUAGGAUUAUAACUCAGGUAUAAUUCUUGUUUGUUGUUAAAGGAGGUGUAUAUCGGUUGACGUUUGAUAGCUAACUGAUAGUGGUAGGUUGGGUAGAUAAACUUUUAUAAGCGUAAGAAAUACAAUUUUUAUGUGUGAGCAAAAAGUUUCUUUCAAAAAAUCUAUAGCUUCCAUUCUUUUUCUGAUUUCAGCAUCUCAAAGCUAUAGUCUUAACAUUAUAAUAAAUAAUCUAUGUUGUUAUAUUUUGGUAAAGAAAAAAUAUCAAAGGAAACAAUGAAGAAAAAAAAAUUAAGAAAAUAUAAAGUUAAAUUAUCAAAAUAAAAACUUAUCUCAUCAAUGUUUCCUCCUCUGGCUCUAACAACAGCUUCCAAUCGCUUUUUCGUGGAUCGAAUGAGUUUCUUUACUCCAUCUUGUUUGAUGUUAACCCAUUCUUCAGUAAGAGUCAUUUUGAGGUCGAAUUCCGUGACUGCUGCAGGAUUUAUCGCCCGAACAUUUGUCUUAAGUUCAUCUCAUAAAUGCUCGAUAGGAUUUGAGUCCGGGCUUCUCGCUGGCCUAUCCAUAGUAGCAAAUCCGAAAUUGUGUAAAUACUGCAGUACGGACCUGCAGUAUAUGGAUGGACAUUGUCCUGCAUUGGCAUGAAGCUUUCGCAGAUAGAUUAAAACCCUUUGCUGAAAGAAUAAUAGGCGACUACCAUUAUGGGUUUAGAAUUAGGAUGUCUAAUACUGAUCAGAUUUUUAGUAUCAGGAAUGUUUUGGAAUAGCUUUUUGAAUAAAACAUCAAAUUAUAUCACCUUUUCACAGAUUUCAAGCAAGCAUAUGAUUGUAUAAAUAGAGUAAAGUUGUACAUGGAAAAUAAUAAGACCUGUUGAAAUAACUGGCAGUCACAGAAGUUGAAGUGUAAAUAGAGGCAAAGCUUCCCAACCAAAAGUGAGAAAAGAAAAGGUGAUAUACUGUCAAUUACCUUCGUUUGGAAAACAGGCUUUCGUGGGCGUCGUCCAUUGCUUGAACGUUCCUUGGGCUUUUAGGCCGUCGCACACUGGGGCAAAAUGGUCCUAUACCUGGCAAUAAAUUAGGAACUCUGUAAAUAUAUGCCAAUUUUGAUUAUUAUUAAGUGUUAUUACUACAAAUAAAACACACAGUUAA